CUUGAACGCUGGCGGCAGGCCUAACACAUGCCACUCGAACGAGUGGCGGACGGGUGAGUAAUGUCUCGGUAUCUGCCUGAUGGAGGGGGAUAACUACUGGAAACGGUAGCUACUACCGCAUACCAUCCGUUGUGCCCAGAUGGGAUUAGCUAGUUGGUGGGGGAACGGCUCACCAAGGCGACGAUCCCUAGCUGGUCUGCGAGGAUGACCAGGGACAAUGUAACAGAGACACGGUCCAGAAGACGAGGGGAGGCAGCAGGGGGGAAUAUUGCAAAAGGGGCGAAAGCCUGAUGGAGACAUGCAGCGUGUGUGAAGAAGGAGUUCGGGGUGAAAAGGACGAUCAGCGGGGAGGCGUUACCCGCAGAAGAAGCACCGGCUAAAUACGUGCCAGCAGCGGCGGUAAUUC
rnacentral:rRNA from 1 species